GCUUUACACAUGCACCUCCAACGGUAACAGGGAGCUUGCUCCGCUGACGAGUGGCUAACGGGUGAGUAAUAUAUCGGAGCGUACCCAAGAGUGGGGGAUUACGUACCGAAAGUUACUCUAAUACCACAUACGAUCUAUGGAUGAAAGCAGGGGACCUUCGGGCCUUGUGCUCCUGGAGCGGCCGAUAUCUGAUUAGCUAGUUGGUGAGGUAAAGGCUCACCAAGGCGACGAUCAGUAGCUGGUCUGAGAGGACGACCAGCCACACUGGAACUGAAACACGGUCCAUACUCCUACGGGAGGCAGCAGUGGGGAAUUUUGGACAAUGGGCGCAAGCCUGAUCCAGCAAUGCCGCGUGAGUGAAGAAGGCCUUCGGGUUGUAAAGCUCUUUUGUCAGGGAAGAAACGGCUGUGGCUAAUAUCCACGGCUAAUGACGGUACCUGAAGAAUAAGCACCGGCUAACUACGUGUCAGCAGCCGCGGUAAUACGUAGGGUGCAAGCGUUAAUCGGAAUUACUGGGCGUAAAGCGUGCGCAGGCGGUUUUGUAAGUCUGUCGUGAAAUCCCCUGGCUCAACCUGGGAAUUGCGAUGGAGACUGCAAGGCUAGAAUCUGGCAGAGGGGGGUAGAAUUCCACGUGUAGCAGUGAAAUGCGUAUAGAUGUGGAGGAACACGAUGGCGAANGCAGCCCCUNNGGGUCANGAUCGACGCUCAUGCACGAAAGNGUGGGAGCAAACAGGAUUAUAUACCCUAGUAGUACACGCCCUAAACGAUGUCUACUAGUUGUCGGGGUUUUAAUUAACUUGGUAUCGCAGCUAACGCGUGAUGUAGACCGCCUGGGAGUUCGGUCGCAAGAUUAGAACUCAAAGGAAUUGACGUGGACCCGCACAAGCGGUGGAUGAUGUGGAUUAAUUCGAUGCAACGCGAAAAACCUUACCUACCCUUGACAUGUCAGUGAAGACCGGAGAGAUUUGGUUGUGCCCGAAAGGGAACCUGAACACAGGUGCUGCAUGGCUGUCGUCAGCUCGUGUCGUGAGAUGUUGGGUUAAGUCCCGCAACAAGCGCAACCCUUGUCAUUAGUUGCUACGCAAGAGCACUCUAAUGAGACAUCCGGUGACAAACCGGAGGAAGGUGGGGAUGACGUCAAGUCCUCAUGGCCGUUAUGGGUUGGGCUUCACACGUCAUACAAUGGUACUUACAGAGGGCCGCCAACCCGCGAGGGGGAGCUAAUCCCAGAAAGUGUAUCGUAGUCCGGAUCGUAGUCUGCAACUCGACUACGUGAAGUUGGAAUCGCUAGUAAUCGCGGAUCAGCAUGCCGCGGUGAAUACGUUCCCGGGUCUUGUACACACCGCCUGUCACACCAUGGGAGCGGGUUUUACCAGAAGUAGGUAGCUUAACCGCAAGGAGGGCGCUUACCAC
rnacentral:rRNA from 1 species